AUGGCCGUCUCCUCGUCGGCGCUCAUCCUCCUCCUUGCCGCGGCCCUCACCACGGGGGCUAGCGCCAGGAGCUUCUCCAUCACGAACCGCUGCUCCUUCACUGUGUGGCCGGCGGCCACCCCGGUGGGCGGCGGACGGCAGCUCAACAACGGCCAAACUUGGAACCUCGACAUCCCCGACGGCACCAGCUCCGCCAGGAUCUGGGGCCGCACCGGCUGCAGCUUCAACGGCAACAGCGGGAGAUGCAGCACCGGCGACUGUGGCGGCGCGCUCUCCUGCACCCUCUCCGGCCAGCCCCCGCUGACUUUGGCGGAGUUCACCCUCGGUGGCGGCACAGACUACUACGACAUCUCGGUGAUCGACGGGUACAACCUCCCCAUGGACUUCUCCUGCAGCACCGGCGUCAACAUCCAGUGCCGCGACUCCAGCUGCCCCGACGCCUACCACCAGCCCAACGACGUCAGGACCAAAGCUUGCAGCGGUAACAGGAGGUUCAGUAUAGUCUUCUGCCCAUGA
rnacentral:rRNA from 1 species